CUAUUGCUGAAGAGUCCUAAACUCUAGGACGAGACAACUGUCCAUUAC
rnacentral:hammerhead_ribozyme from 1 species